GAUGAACGCUGGCGGCGUGCUUAACACAUGCAAGUCGAACGGAAAGGCCCAAGCUUGCUUGGGUACUCGAGUGGCGAACGGGUGAGUAACACGUGGGUGAUCUGCCCUGCACUUCGGGAUAAGCCUGGGAAACUGGGUCUAAUACCGGAGAGGACCACUUCUUGGAUGUUGUGGUGGAAAGUUUUUUGGGUGUGGGAUGAGCUCGCGGCCUAUCGGCUUAUUGGUGGGGUAAUGGCCUACCAAGGCGUCGACGGGUAGCCGGCCUGUGGGGGUGUACGGCGCCAUUGGGACUGAGAUACGGCCCCGGUACCGACGGGUGGCAGAAGUGGGGAAUCUUGACCAAUGGGCGCCAGCCUGAUGCAGAGAGGCCGCGUAGGGGAUGAUGGCCUUAUGGUUGUAAACUCAUUUCGCUAGGGACGAAGCGUUUUGUGACGGUACCUGGAGAAAAAGCACCGGCUAACUACGUG
rnacentral:rRNA from 1 species